rnacentral:rRNA from 1 species
GACGAACGCUGGCGGCGUGCCUAAUACAUGCAAGUCGAGCGCAGGAAGUCGACGGAACCCUUCGGGGGGAAGUCGACGGAAUGGGCGGCGGACGGGUGAGUAACACGUAAAGAACCUGCCCUCAGGUCUGGGAUAACCACGAGAAAUCGGGGCUAAUGCCGGAUGGGUCAUCGGACCGCAUGGUCCGAGGAUGAAAGGCGCUCCGGCGUCGCCUGGGGAUGGCUUUGCGGUGCAUUAGCUAGUUGGUGGGGUAAUGGCCCACCAAGGCGACGAGGCAUAGCCGACCUGAGAGGGUGAUCGGCCACACUGGGACUGAGACACGGCCCAGACUCCUACGGGAGGCAGCAGUAGGGAAUCUUCCACAAUGGACGAAAGUCUGAUGGAGCAACGCCGCGUGAACGAUGAAGGCCUUCGGGUCGUAAAGUUCUGUUGUAAGGGGAGAACAAGUGCCGCAGGCAAUGGCGGCACCUUGACGGUACCUUGCGAGAAAGCCACGGCUAACUACGUGCCAGCCGCCGCCGUAAGAC